rnacentral:lncRNA from 1 species
UUACGUCAACAGAGUACUCCCUCUAAACUUCAUGACUUGUACCGCCGUGCUCCUAGAGACGUCCUCGCCAAGCCAAUAAGAAGUGCAUUAGAAAGAGAAGUGCACUAGACAUAUAAGUCGCGGCCGCAAUAUGUAUUGAGAGCCUGAGGACGGGUCCUCUCUCGAGAUACAUGGCUCAAAUGCUUUCUAUCCGCCGUAGGUCGCUAGCUAAUGGAAUACCAUUCCUUCUAGCCAAGCCUAGCUUUCUACAUAGGUAGGCAUAGCAUAGGUUCUAUGGUCUGAGCCUUACUCUUUCGGAAGCCUCACUCGCGGCAAAGGAAAGACAAGAGUAAGAUCCAAUACCAUUAUUCUAAAAUUCAAUAAUAGAAUAAUAAUAGUAUUAGCCUUUGGAAAUAGGUGGACAAUCCUACCUCCCCUAACCUCUAUCUACUCUAGAAAGUCUAUCCUAUCCAGAGAAGCCUAAGGUUCCUAGCUUUGAUAGAGCUAUUAACUCAAUAAAUAAGAGCAGCUAGAGUCUGGUUUGUUUCUUCUUUGUUUUUUCUUUUUCUUUCUUGCUUGUGAAAGAUUAUUAAGACAUGAACGCACGCAUAGCUUUUUUUUUCUUAGGGUUCCAGCAAAUGCAAUGGAACCCUAGUCCUCGAGCUCCUCUGAGUCGCUCGAGUCUUUC